GGUUCUGUAGCUCAGUCGGUAGAGCAGAGGACUGAAAAUCCUCGUGUCGGUGGUUCGAUUCCGCCCGGAACCACCA
rnacentral:tRNA from 1 species